rnacentral:rRNA from 1 species
CGACCCCAGGAUGGGCGAGGCCACCUGCUGAGUUUAAGCAUAUCAAUAAGCGGAGGAAAAAAAACCCUACAA